rnacentral:rRNA from 1 species
GGUUUCCUACGGGGGGCAGCAGUGGGGAAUAUUGCACAAUGGGGGGGAACCCUGAUGCAGCGACGCCGCGUGGGUGAAGGAGCACCUCGGUGCGUAAAGCCCUAUCGGCAGGGAAGGAAAGCGAACAGGUUCGCCUGGACGGUACCUGACUAAGAAGCCCCGGCUAACUACGUGCCAGCAGCCGCGGUAAUACGUAGGGGGCAAGCGUUAUCCGGAUUCACUGGGGGGAAAGGGGGCGUAGACGGCGGCGCAAGUCUGGGGUGAAAGCCCGGGGCCCAACCCCGGGGCUGCU